rnacentral:rRNA from 1 species
UGGGGAAUAUUGGACAAUGGGCGAAAGCCGGAUCCAGCCAUGCCGCGUGUGUGAAGAAGGUCUUCGGAUUGUAAAGCACUUUAAGUUGGGAGGAAGGGCAUUAACCUAAUACGUUAGUGUUUUGACGUUACCGACAGAAUAAGCACCGGCUAACUCUGUGCCAGCAGCCGCGGUAAUACAGAGGGUGCAAGCGUUAAUCGGAAUUACUGGGCGUAAAGCGCGCGUAGGUGGUUUGUUAAGUUGGAUGUGAAAUCCCCGGGCUCAACCUGGGAACUGCAUUCAAAACUGACUGACUAGAGUAUGGUAGAGGGUGGUGGAAUUUCCUGUGUAGCGGUGAAAUGCGUAGAUAUAGGAAGGAACACCAGUGGCGAAGGCGACCACCUGGACUAAUACUGACACUGAGGUGCGAAAGCGUGGGGAGCAAACA